GAUGUUAUUGCUUAUACUUGCAUGCUAGUAGCUCAAUAUAUCUUGCUUGGUUGGUUCAUGAUCUAGUAUGCAUGAUGAUUAUUUGAUAAAAACCUAGACCCUAUAUAAGAUGAUUAAUGCUUAUGUUGCUAAAGAACUAGUAUGAUGUAACUAGUGUUGAUGAUGAGUCUAAAUGACGAGUGGCAUCUAGUUAGAAAACUAUGAUGAGUGGCAUAUGAUUGUUGAUGACCUUGAUAUGAGAAUAUUAGUGUAGUUGAAACACUAUGAGAUUGG
rnacentral:lncRNA from 1 species